rnacentral:lncRNA from 1 species
AAUAUUGAAGGUCAAAUUUGUUAUUACAUAUAUUUUUUUAAUGUAAAUACUGGUUAAAUUUGGAGCAUAGGUUUUAAAUUUUCUAUUAGUGUUAACUUUUCCUCUUCCGUUGCCUGCAAAAUAUAUAAAAAAAAAAUAUGAAAAAAAUUCAAAAUAUAUAUAAUUCAUAGAAAUUUUAAAAAAUAAUAUAAAAUACAUGUGAAUGCUCAAAGAAUCAUAAGCCACAAAAACCCAAUAAGUAUUCUACUAAGCAGAAAUCACACAAAAAAUAAUAGACUAAAACAAUAAUCUUAAAAAGAG